rnacentral:rRNA from 1 species
UGGUAGUCCACGCCCUAAACGAUGUAUACUAGUUGUUGCUGUGCUAGUCACGGCAGUAAUGCACCUAACGGAUUAAGUAUACCGCCUGGGGAGUACGGUCGCAAGAUUAAAACUCAAAGGAAUAGACGGGGACCCGCACAAGCGGUGGAGCAUGUGGUUUAAUUCGAAGAUACGCGAAGAACCUUACCUGGGCUUGAUAUCCAACUAAUCUCUUAGAGAU